UGCGCAGGUGGCCCGCCAAGCCAGUGGUGAAAUCCCCCCGCUCAACGGGGGGCGUGCCAUUGGAACUGGCGGGCUUGAGUUCGGCCGAGGCCGCCGGAACGGGCGGUGUAGCGGUGAAAUGCAUAGAUAUCGCCCAGAACGCCGAUUGCGAAGGCAGGCGGCCAGGCCGACACUGACACUGAGGCACGAAAGCGUGGGGAGCGAACA
rnacentral:rRNA from 1 species